rnacentral:rRNA from 1 species
UACGUAGGGGGCAAGCGUUAUCCGGAUUUACUGGGUGUAAAGGGAGCGUAGACGGCAGCGCAAGUCUGGAGUGAAAUGCCGGGGCCCAACCCCGGAACUGCUUUGGAAACUGUGCAGCUCGAGUGCAGGAGAGGUAAGCGGGAUUCCUAGUGUAGCGGUGAAAUGCGUAGAUAUUAGGAGGAACACCAGUGGCGAAGGCGGCUUACUGGACUGUAACUGACGUUGAGGCUCGAAAGCGUGGGGAGCAAACAGG